rnacentral:lncRNA from 1 species
CCAUGUCGCCCCCUUUCCCUUUCUUAUCGUCUUUCCCUCGUCCUUCCAUCCUCCAUCAAUCACAAAACCUUGCACAAAUCCGUGAAAAGUCAAUAAAUCAACCAUGAAUUCAUACUUUCUAUCUUCCCCAACCGCGAAUCAUGCCGAUUUCAUUACUGUUUCAUCACACAAAUUCGAAAUCCCUAAUCUAAAACCCUAAGACUCAAAGAUGCAACUUCGAAUCUCCGGAUUUCCGUUGUGCUCUUUUAAAUUGGAGCAUGCAUGAGCAUAUCUCAGAACCUCAUCAUGAUUAUUCGAGGUCCAGAGGUCAAAUGCAAUGACUAUUGGGCAUCGGGGCUCUACCCAAUGGGUUUUUCCAUCAACAGUCACAUUCCCUCUUCUCAAGUAAAACUCUCAUUGAUUUUUCUCCUCUUCUCAUUUCUGAUUUUACUCAAUCAUGCUUGAAUCAUCUAGUAGUCAUCACUCUCCACUAGCGAGUUUAAAUCUGUUUUGAAAUCCUAAGGCUUCAAUGGCCACUAUAAAUUAGGGCUUUCAAUGCUCUCACCUAACAACAACCUACCCCUAAUACAACACAGAAAAAUGAAAGAGAAUUAAACCCUAGAUUACUCACUGAUUUCUUUUCUUCUCCGAUUUCGAGUUUGCACACUAUUCGAGUUUGAGUUCAGAGUCUUAAAAUCUAAAAACAAGAAGCUCUUUGGUUUGGUUUACUGCCCAAAAGAAGGUCAGUGAACCUCAACCUUUCUUUUGAUCAUUUAAUUAUAUAUUAUAUGUACUCUGUUAUAUCUUGUUAAAUGGUUCUAGCUCUAAUAUGUUAUUGUCAAUCAUCUCUAUAUGCUUUGCUAUCAAUUCAUAAUAGUUCAUCAACUUUAGAACUAUAAGUUCCUUAAUAUUCUGAAAUUAGAGUCAUGUACUAGUUAUUUGUUCUGGUAACCCUAAUGAAUAUAUCUUGGGAUAACUCGUAUAUUAAACUUCUGAAAGAGCUUGCAAAUGACCCCAGUUGUUGUUUUAAUCUUCUGGUUUUCUGCUCUCAUACAUGCUAUGUUAGUUUGCCUUAGUAUUUUUGGAAUGAUUCAUUUGAUAUCUGGAAUAAGUGGAUGUGAAUACAUGAUGUUAAGUAUAAGGUUGUCACUUAAUCUAAGCAUGUUAGUUUAUAAUGCUUGAACGGUCUCCUUCUUUAAUGUGUUCUUCUGUGAUUCUAUAACUUUAAAAAAUUAGGGUAAGAACCUUCUAUCACCUCCCAUAACUAUUUUAUCACAUCUGUGAACUUCACUAUAUAAGAUAAUGCCUUAACUGGAUUAAGCUCUAAGGAAACAGACGCAUUUCAGUUCUGCCUUCUGCUAUCUACAUAGUUUAAGUCGUGUCUCUAAACCUAACUGAAAUUGCAUAUGUAAUAGUUGAAUGCCAUCUUAUAGAAUCAAGUGUUGCAAAACUUCAUUAUGACAGACCGGUCUACUUAGCUUAUAACUAAGAUAUGCUUACAUAGUAUAAACUCUCACUCUUCAGGACCACUAUAAUGGCAAUAUUAGUUUAAUCCAAUGUUGUUUGGUACUCAAUCGUAUUGAAUGUUCUAGUAUUAGUUAGAAUACAACAUGUGCACAUUUUAAUGUCACCCAUUGGAAAAUUCGAACUCAUCCAUGUCUUAAAAAGAAACUGCUGCUGAUAUAUCAUGUUUGUGACUGAGUUUCCAGAACAUUGAAACAUACUAAGUUCACUGAAGCUUACCCAUAGACUUAGAAGAAGCCCUUUACAUGUCUAUCUACCCUAUGUGAAUAUAGGACUAUAUAUUUAACUCUUACCCAACCUAGAUGGAAUGAAGAUCUCUUUAGAAAUCACUAGCCAAUGUAUCUGCCUGCCCCUGUUUUCUUAAGAACUUUGAAGUGAAUUGUUAAAUUUCCCACUUUGUAAGAAGUGGAAUGUUAGUCUGUAUGUAUAUUUCCAUUAAGUAUAUAUGUGAUUAUAGUUAAUGAUCUUUCAUAAGCAUGAGCCUGCUAAAAGGAUUAUUGAGAGUAAUACACUUGAUGCCUCUUGUACUCCUUUGAACCACAUGACUUACCUAUUCUAAGUUCUUAUAUUCUUGUGUUGUUGUUUACUCAUUGUUUGCUAGAACCCAUAAUUGAUCAUGUUUGAGUGCUCUUAAGCUUGAUAAGAUUACAUGAUAGUACUACAUUCUUGCUUGAAAAUCCUUAGAUGUUUGGUGAUGCUUUGGUUUUCUGGAUAGUUAUUGAAAUAUACCUCUCCUUGUAUAUAAUCAUCACAAUGGUAUUGGAGUUUACUUUGAGUACCUAAUUAGCACCUAAACCUGCAGAGAAGAGUAAGCAUGAGUAGUUAGGGGUAUUUGGGAGUAGAAUUUAGUUCUUGGUUGAGCUACUCUCAUUGACACAAGCACUGCUCGGGGUCCUUUAGACCAUUGUGAACUUUUAAGUGCUAGGGAUCCAAAGAUUACCGUGUCCAUGGGCGAAAUUUUAUCCUAAGUCGUUAAUCUAUUGACAUUUUCUAAUCUCUUUAGGUUUAAUGUUCAAUGGAAAUAAAGUUUUUUUAUUGUAAAUUACCUUAUUAUAUGUGACUCCAUAUUACUUUCUGGAUUCUUAGUUACUGUCGAUGGCUACAACUUUAUCUUAGGCCUAAAUUGAUGUUACUUGUGUUUAUGUAUUGUAUUAGGUCAUAUAUCUAAUAACCUUCUCUAGUUUUACGCAUGUGUCUGAGUUGGGCCUGCCGAAUUCUCAAAGAACUCAAGACCAAAUUCUACCAUGAACUUGGAGGUCGUCUGAAGCUGAUGUUGUUCUCUUCAUUUUCUGCUUGGCCCAAUUUCUUUCAGGCCCGCACUAUGAGUCCAUUCCUUUCAUCUAUCGCUUUAUUAAGUUUACUAUUAUUUUCAUAUGUAUAUAACAC